rnacentral:rRNA from 1 species
AACGAACGCUGGCGGCAGGCUUAACACAUGCAAGUCGAGCGCCCCGCAAGGGGAGCGGCAGACGGGUGAGUAACGCGUGGGAAUCUACCCAUCCCUGCGGAAUAGCUCCGGGAAACUGGAAUUAAUACCGUAUACGCCCUACGGGGGAAAGAUUUAUCGGGGAUGGAUGAGCCCGCGUUGGAUUAGCUAGUUGGUGGGGUAAAGGCCUACCAAGGCGACAAUCCAUAGCUGGUCUGAGAGGAUGAUCAGCCACAUUGGGACCGAGACACGGCCCAAACUCCUACGGGAGGCAGCAGUGGGGAAUAUUGGACAAUGGGGGCAACCCUGAUCCAGCCAUGCCGCGUGAGUGAUGAAGGCCUUAGGGUUGUAAAGCUCUUUCACCGGGGAAGAUAAUGACGGUACCCGGAGAAGAAGCCCCGGCUAACUUCGUGCCAGCCGCCGCAGUAA